AUACAGAGGGUGCGAGCGUUAAUCGGAAUUACUGGGCGUAAGGCGCGCGUAGGCGGCUUAUUAAGUCAGAUGUGAAAUCCCCGGGCUCAACCUGGGAACUGCAUCUGAUACUGGUAAGCUAGAGUUUUGGAGAGGGAAGUAGAAUUUCAGGUGUAGCGGUGAAAUGCAUAGAGAUCUGAAGGAAUACCAGUGGCGAAGGCGACUUCCUGGCCAAAAACUGACGCUGAGGUGCGGAAGCGUGGGUAGCAAACGGGAUUAGAAACCCCGGUAGUCC
rnacentral:rRNA from 1 species